AGGGAAUAUUGGUCAAUGGGUGAAAGCCUGAACCAGCCAUGCCGCGUGCAGGAAGACGGCCUUCUGGGUUGUAAAGCUCUUUUGUCAGGGAAGAACCGGUUCUGGCUAAUAUCCGGAGCUAAUGACGGUACCUGAAGAAUAAGCACCGGCUAACUACGUGCCAGCAGCCGCGGUAAUACGUAGGGUGCAAGCGUUAAUCGGAAUUACUGGGCGUAAAGCGUGCGCAGGCGGUCCGCUAAGACCGAUGUGAAAUCCCCGGGCUUAACCUGGGAACUGCAUUGGUGACUGGCGGGCUAGAGUGUGGCAGAGGGGGGUAGAAUUCCACGUGUAGCAGUGAAAUGCGUAGAUAUGCGGAGGAACACCGAUGGCGAAGGCAAUCCCCUGGGCCUGCACUGACGCUCAUGCACGAAAGCGUGGGGAGCAAA
rnacentral:rRNA from 1 species